UUUGAUACAGAAGACGAUAAUCAGGUUAAUCUCUUUUUAGAUUCUUUAUUCAAUCAUCUGAAAAGAGAUUAACCUGAUUAUCGUCUUCUGUAUCAAAUAA
rnacentral:pre_miRNA from 1 species